GACGGAGGAUGCAAGUGUUAUCCGGAAUCACUGGGCGUAAAGCGUCUGUAGGUGGUUUAAUAAGUCAACUGUUAAAUCUUGAGGCUCAACUUCAAAAAUCGCAGUCGAAACUAUUAGACUAGAGUAUAGUAGGGGUAAAGGGAAUUUCCAGUGGAGCGGUGAAAUGCGUAGAGAUUGGAAAGAACACCAAUGGCGAAAGCACUUUACUGGGCUAUCACUGACACUGAGAGACGAAAGCUAGGGGAGCGAAUGGG
rnacentral:rRNA from 1 species